rnacentral:misc_RNA from 1 species
AGGCGGGCCUUAUUUUCUUUGUAUGUGUGGUUUACACCCGGGUGUCUGCAAGCACUCACACGCAAGCGCACUUCAUUACUCUCUCACAGCGUUGCCGCCCUUCGCGUUUCGUUUUUUUUUUCCUUCCCACAAGUCGCGGAGGGCUUCGUGAUCGACUCUUUCACGCUCGGAACCGUGGCGAGCAUCACCGCAACCUGCAGAGCACGCACACCCUUUUCACCUGCCUUGGUAGGAAAACCGCAGAGAAAGAGAGACGCGUCGAAGGAGCCGAAAUAAGAGGCGUGAGCAAACCGAGAGGAGCGGCCUUCCCUCCGCCUCUUCUUCGGCGGCCGGCGGCAGCGCUGUUGCCCAGUCUUUGAUUGUGGGCACGCGUGCCACUGCAAGCAGGGAGGGAAGGGGGGACCAUUAUCGCAGGGGCGAGGCCUGCACCUGUACCUGUGUGUGUGUGCCUCGAUCUUUCUCCGAGUGUGGAGUCGCCAGCGCUUGUCUACGGAGUCUAUACAGACACGCGUAUGCACUCCCUCCUCAGCUGCCCUGUUUUGUUCUUCUAUUCGUUUCAGCUUCGAAGUCCCCUCCCUCUGUUAAUCAACACGCGCCAUCGCACAUCACUUUCCUCCGCUUUCUGAAAAGAAAAGAGCGCUCUCAGGAGUUGGGCGACAGGGAUGAACGAGCUGGAGUACUUCGUCGUCAGUACGCACGGGAAUCGGUGUGAUAUCAUGCGCUACAUGCAGCAGCUGCGAGACUUGGAUGAGUGGAUCGAGUACCACCUCUCUCACCUUCGUGCCAUUGCAGCCGAGCGGGUGGCAUACCAGAAAGCGCAGGCACGCAAAAAGCAAAGCGGCAAUUGUGGUGGCACGCGUGGCCGAGGAGGCCGCGACCGCGGUAGAGGACGAGCAUCUGCUGCUGCAGAGUCGACCUUGCACGCACACCACAUGCAUGAUGUAGAUGCGAGCCCUCAAGGAGAAGUUGGCGGCAAUAACGGCAAUGCAGACACCGUCGCCGGGGCGUACGCAGCGGGGCUCCAGCGGCAGUUCGCGUGGCACGAGACGUGCGUGCAGCGCCGCUGCCACGAGCGAGAGGCCGUGGCGGCGGAGCUCGCGGAGCGGUGCUCCGAGGUGCGACUCUCCAUGGCCUCGCGCCUGGCCAACUUUGCUGCUGUAGCAGAUGUCCCCGUGACGGAGCUGUCUGGGUAGGCUCUUUGCAGUAUUCAUGACAAGCGGCGAAACUUCGGUACAGUAUGCAUGCAGAGAAGCGGGGAAGUUUUGCGAGCUCGUGAGUGCCUGCCCAGCGCGCGAGCAUUGUGUUGCACUGAAUGGAAUUGGUCUUGUGUUGGCCUGCUUCCGAACAACCAAAAAAAUAAAUGCAGCGCGACGAUGCAGCGUACGUGGGCGUCGCUGCGGCUCUCUCUCUCCCUCUCGAGCUCUCUCGUGGCGCACGCACGGCGAAUAAG